AGGACGAACGCUGGCGGCGUGCCUAACACAUGCAAGUCGAACGGGGAUUUGCUCGGCAGAAUCCUAGUGGCGAACGGGUGAGUAACGCGUAGGCAACCUGCCCUCCGGCCGGGGACAACACUCCGAAAGGGGUGCUAAUACCGGAUACGAAGUCUGUGCCGCAUGGUACGGAUUUGAAAGAUGGCCUCUAUUUAUAAGCUAUCGCCGGGGGAUGGGCCUGCGUCCGAUUAGCUGGUUGGUGGGGUAACGGCCUACCAAGGCGACGAUCGGUAGCCGGUCUGAGAGGAUGAACGGCCACAUUGGGACUGAGACACGGCCCAGACUCCUACGGGAGGCAGCAGUGGGGAAUCUUCCGCAAUGGGCGCAAGCCUGACGGAGCAACGCCGCGUGAGUGAGGAAGUUCUUCGGAACGUAAAGCUCUGUUGUUCCUGACGAACCUCCCCUCUAUCAACAACGGAGGGGACUGACGGUAGGGAACGAGGAAGCCACGGCUAACUACGUGCCAGCAGCGGC
rnacentral:rRNA from 1 species